GUUCAAGAGUACGUGAAACCGUUCAGGGGUAAACCUGAGAAACCYAAAAGAUCGAAUAGGGAGAUUCAUCGUCAGCAUGUUUUGUAUAUGUAUGAGUUAUGAUGCGGGUUACUUUUGUAUUGCUUGCACAUUCUUGUAUAUUUAGUUGCGAAAUAUGUCGGCGUGCACUUCUCCCUUAGUAGAACGUCGCAACCCGUUGAAUGUUGGUUUAUGACCCGAGUGGGAGCCUUUAACGUUUUUAACAUUGAAGACCCUUGGUGUUCUAACUAACUGUUCGACGGUACUCAUAUGGU
rnacentral:rRNA from 1 species